rnacentral:rRNA from 1 species
UAGGGAAUCUCCGGCAAUGGGGGGAACCCUGACCGAGCAACGCCGCGUGAGUGAAGAAGGUUUUCGGAUCGUAAAGCUCUGUUGUUAAGGAAGAACGAGUGUGAGAAUGGAAAGUUCAUACUGUGACGGUACUUAACCAGAAAGGGACGGCUAACUACGUGCCAGCAGCCGCGGUAAUACGUAGGUCCCGAGCGUUGUCCGGAUUUAUUGGGCGUAAAGCGAGCGCAGGCGGUUAGAUAAGUCUGAAGUUAAAGGCAGUGGCUCAACCAUUGUAGGCUUUGGAAACUGUUUAACUUGAGUGCAGAAGGGGAGAGUGGAAUUCCAUGUGUAGCGGUGAAAUGCGUAGAUAUAUGGAGGAACACCGGUGGCGAAAGCGGCUCUCUGGUCUGUAACUGACGCUGAGGCUCGAAAGCGUGGGGAGCGAACAGG